AUUGAACGCUGGCGGCAGGCUUAACACAUGCAAGUCGAGCGGAGAUGAGGUGCUUGCACCUUAUCUUAGCGGCGGACGGGUGAGUAAUGCUUAGGAAUCUGCCUAUUAGUGGGGGACAACAUUUCGAAAGGAAUGCUAAUACCGCAUACGCCCUACGGGGGAAAGCAGGGGAUCUUCGGACCUUGCGCUAAUAGAUGAGCCUAAGUCGGAUUAGCUAGUUGGUGGGGUAAAGGCCUACCAAGGCGACGAUCUGUAGCGGGUCUGAGAGGAUGAGCCGCCACACUGGGACUGAGACACGGCCCAGACUCCUACGGGAGGCAGCAGUGGGGAAUAUUGGACAAUGGGCGGAAGCCUGAUCCAGCCAUGCCGCGUGUGUGAAGAAGGCCUUUUGGUUGUAAAGCACUUUAAGCGAGGAGGAGGCUACCUGGAUUAAUACUCUAGGAUAGUGGACGUUACUCGCAGAAUAAGCACCGGCUAACUCUGUGCCAGCAGCCGCCGUAAAAC
rnacentral:rRNA from 1 species